GAUUGUAGUCUGCAACUCGACUACAUGAAGCUGGAAUCGCUAGUAAUCGCGAAUCAGCAUGUCGCGGUGAAUACGUUCCCGGGUCUUGUACACACCGCCCGUCACACCAUGGGAGUCGGUAACGCCCGAAGUCAGUGACCCAACCGCAAGGAGGGAGCUGCCGAAGGUGGAGCUGGUAACUGGGGUGAAGUCGUAACAAGGUAAC
rnacentral:rRNA from 1 species